UUAUACCCGCUUAAUUCAUUCAGAUCUGUAAUAGAACUGUCAUUCAACCCCAAAAAUCUAGUGCUGAUAUAACCUUCACCAAUUAGGUUCAAAUAAGUGGUAAUGCGGGACAAAAGACUAUCGACAUUUGAUACACUAUUUAUCAAUGGAUGUCUUAUUUUUUUU
rnacentral:telomerase_RNA from 14 species